rnacentral:rRNA from 1 species
UGGGGGUAGUAGGUAAGCGAUGGGGUGACGCAGGAAGGUAGUCCAGCCCAGGCGAUGGUUGUCCUGGGGUAAGCAUGUAGGGAGCGAGGUAGGUAAAUCCGCCUCGUAUAUAUCCUGAGAUGUGAUGCCGAGCCGAUUGUGGUGAAGUGGAUGAUCCUAUGCUGCCGAGAAAAGCCUCUAGUGAGUGUUGUGGCGGCCCGUACCCUAAACCGACUCAGGUGGUCAGGUAGAGAAUACCAAGGCGAUCGGGUGAACUGUGGUUAAGGAACUCGGCAAAUUGCCCCCGUAACUUCGGGAGAAGGGGGACCUCUGCUGGUGAUGGGCUUUACGUUCUGAGCUGGUGGGGGUCGCAGUGGCCAGGGGGAAGCGACUGUUUACUAAAAACACAGGUCCGUGCGAAGUCGUAAGACGAUGUAUACGGACUGACGCCUGCCCGGUGCCGGAACGUUAAGGGGACCGCUUAGCCAACGCGAGUUGGCGAAGGUGAGAACUUAAGCGCCGGUAAACGGCGGUGGUAACUAUAACCAUCCUAAGGUAGCGAAAUUCCUUGUCGGGUAAGUUCCGACCUGCACGAAUGGCGUAACGACUUCCCCGCUGUCUCAACCACAGACCCGGCGAAAUUGCACUACGAGUAAAGAUGCUCGUUUCGCGCAGCAGGACGGAAAGACCCCGGGACCUUCACUACAGCUUGACAUUGGCGUUUGGAACGUCUUGUGUAGGAUAGGUGGGAGACUGGGAAGCUGUCACGCUAGUGAUGGUGGAGUCAUUGGUGAAAUACCACUCUGGUCGUUUUGAACGUCUAACUCUGGUCCGUGAUCCGGAUCGGGGACAGUGUCUGGUGGGUAGUUUAACUGGGGCGGUUGCCUCCUAAAGAGUAACGGAGGCGCCCAAAGGUUCCCUCAGCCUGGUUGGCAAUCAGGUGUUGAGUGUAAGUGCACAAGGGAGCUUGACUGUGAGACUGACAGGUCGAGCAGGAGCGAAAGCUGGGACUAGUGAUCCGGCAUCGGCGUGCGGAAGCGGUGUCGCUCAACGGCUAAAAGGUACCCCGGGGAUAACAGGCUGAUCUUCCCCAAGAGUCCAUAUCGACGGGAUGGUUUGGCACCUCGAUGUCGGCUCGUCGCAUCCUGGGGCUGGAGUAGGUCCCAAGGGUUGGGCUGUUCGCCCAUUAAAGCGGUACGCGAGCUGGGUUUAGAACGUCGCGAGACAGUUCGGUCCCUAUCCGCUGCGCGCGCAGGAGACUUGAAGGGGGCUGUCCCUAGUACGAGAGGACCGGGACGGACGAACCUCUGGUGUGCCAGUUGUACCGCCAGGUGCACGGCUGGUUGGCUACGUUCGGAAGGGAUAACCGCUGAAAGCAUCUAAGCGGGAAGCUCGCCUUGAGAUGAGGUCUCCCACCCCGUGAGGGGGUAAGGCUCCCGGUAGAUCACCGGGUUGAUAGGCCGGAGGUGGAAGCACGGUAACGUGUGGAGCUGACCGGUACUAAUAGGCCGAGGACUUGACCAC